rnacentral:tRNA from 1 species
GGUGAGAUGGCUCAGUGGGUAAGAGUACUGACUGCUCCUCCAAAGGUCCUGAGUUCAAAUCCCAGCAACCA